rnacentral:sRNA from 1 species
AAUCAACACUCGUUUCGCAGAACCAAACUGCCAGUACAGCAAUACGGUCACAAUCGUGACCGCGAC